rnacentral:lncRNA from 1 species
UCUCAAGAGUAUAAUAUUAUAAGCCAAAAGUUGCUUACAAGGUCUUAAAGCCCACCAUAGUUUUGCAGAAACAAAGGGUGAACCCCAACGCGAGGUCACCAACGUUACAUCGAAAAUCAAAGGAGUUUUUAAAGUUUGGACUCUAUCUUAUACACGUGUUAACUUGAGAAUACAACUGUAACACGAGUUGAUUAGUCAUCGGAAGAGAAACCGACAUCAGCUUUCGUCGCCGGCGAACACCAAAUCCAGUGAAGAAACCGUCGUCAAAACAACUUACGAAGAUUCUUUGUUUACCACCGGAACAGAUCUGAAUGGAGCUCUAUUAAAAAUGGCGACAUAAGGAUAUCAUAAUAAGCUUCGGAGAAUUCUUCAAACCUUUAACUGGAUACAUAAUUGCUUGAACCAUCUUCUGCAAAUCAAGGUUUCUAAAGACACAAGUUGGAGAAUCAUUUUAAGCCAACAACACCUAGAAACUAAUUACCAACUCAAAUCUAUAGAAUUUAUUGAAAAAACAAAGACUAAAAGCAAUCGGUUUAAAACCGAACAAAGAUAAGAACCGGCCAAACCUCUUAUGGAAACUAGAUUUACCGGACAAAAACUGGCUAUCUCCACUGUCGGAGCUAGAAGAUACCAGGUCUAAACCGACCAAAGCCGUUAACGGAAACUGGAUUUGUCGGACAGAAACCGGCUAUCCCCACUAGUAAAGCUGGAAGACACCGGGCAAAAGCCCAAAACACUUGGGACGGCGAAACAUCGGACUAACAUCCGAUCAGCAAAAUCAACAAAGAAUUCCUCUCUCUAAAGGAUAUAGAGAGAGAAGAGAGAGAAAUUCUUUUGCUUUAGCUUUUGUCUUGGUUACAUAGAACGAAGCUCACUUUCAUCUACUUUAGCAUUAGUAUUUCGAAUUAGUACCAAAUGUGUUGUGAAUAUACUAAAUUUGGAAGAAGAGUGACGAAACCCGGAUCUUGUUUCUGAAGCUUCAAAGCAAGACGAGUUAAGCACUUGAAAGCUUCUUGUUGAACAGCUGAGUAUCUCUGAUUCAUAGAAAAUUUUUUGGGUUACCCCUAGAGAUGAACCAUUCUUUUUCACCCCCUCUUAAUUAGCCAAUCAAAAUAUAAUAAUAUGACACGUCAUUUUUAUAAUUUAAUAAAGUAAAUCAAAUUUUUUUUUUAAAAGCAUACUAACUGUAUUUAAAAAAGUGAGUUGGGUGAGGAUAUCUUUUUGUGUGGUCUAUAACAAAAGGUACUGGUUUCAUCGCACAAACGGGAUGCAUACUCAGUUCGUAAGUAGAUGA